UUUCUUUACCACCGUGAGCCUUCGCUCCACCGAGAAAAAAAAUGACUGAGCGAACGGGUGACUAACACGUGGGUAACCUGCCCAUAAGAAGGGGAUAACACUUGGAAACUGGUGCUACUACCGUAUAACAAUCGAAACCGCAUGUUUUUGAUUUGAAAGGCGCUUUCGGGUGUCGCUGAUGGAUGGACCCGCGGUGCAUUAGCUAGUUGGUGAGGUAACGGCUCACCAGGGCCACGAUGCAUACCCGACCAGAGAGGGUGAUCGGCCACUUUGAGACAGACACACGGCCCAAACUCCUACGGGAGGCAGCAGUAGGGAAUCUUCCGCAAUGGAAAAAAGUCUGACCGAACAACCCCGCGUGAGUGAAAAGUGUUUUCAGAUCAUAAAACUCUGUUGUUAGAAAAAAACAGGGAAGAGAGUAACUGUUCCUCCCUUGACGGUAUCUAACCAAAAAGCCACGGCUAACUACGUGCCAACACCCGCGGUAAUACGUGGGUGGCAAGCGUUGUCCGGAUUUAUUGGGCGUAAAGCGAGCGCGCGCGGUUUCUUAUGUCUGAUGUGAACCCCCCCGGCUCAAGCGGGGAGGGUCAUUGAAAACUGGGAGACUUGUGUGCAGAAGAAGAGAGUGGAAUUCCGUGUGUAGCGGUGAAAUGCAUAUAUAUGUGGAGGAACACCAGUGGCGAACGCGGCUCUCUGGUCUGUCACUGACUCUGAGGCUCAAAAGCGUGGGGAGCAAACGAGAUUAUAUACUCUGGUAGUCCACUCCAUAAACGAUGAGUGCUAUGUGUGGGAGGGUUCCCCCCCUUCUUUGCU
rnacentral:rRNA from 1 species